UACGGGGGGGGCAAGCGUUGUUCGGAAUUACUGGGCGUAAAGCGUGCGCAGGCGGUUUUGUAAGUCUGACGUGAAAUCCCCGGGCUUAACCUGGGAAUUGCGUUGGAGACUGCAAGGCUGGAGUCUGGCAGAGGGGGGUAGAAUUCCACGUGUAGCAGUGAAAUGCGUAGAGAUGUGGAGGAACACCGAUGGCGAAGGCAGCCCCCUGGGUCAAGACUGACGCUCAUGCACGAAAGCGUGGGGAGCAAACAGG
rnacentral:rRNA from 1 species